UACGAAGGGGGCUAGCGUUGCUCGGAAUCACUGGGCGUAAAGCGCACGUAGGCGGAUUGUUAAGUCAGGGGUGAAAUCCUGGAGCUCAACUCCAGAACUGCCUUUGAUACUGGCGAUCUCGAGUCCGGGAGAGGUGAGUGGAACUGCGAGUGUAGAGGUGAAAUUCGUAGAUAUUCGCAAGAACACCAGUGGCGAAGGCGGCUCCCUGGCCCGGUACUGACGCUGAGGUGCGAAAGCGUGGGGAGCAAACAGG
rnacentral:rRNA from 1 species